UCUCCUUUUUUUUGUUGCACCUCCUCUUUCACUCUGAUUCUGUGGUGUCAGCAGUCCAUCAUAAUCACCCAUCCUCCUGCCUAAGAAAUGGGCUUACAGCCUGAGCUGAUCAGUUUCCUUGCCCCUUGGAUCUGAAGCCAAAUGGAUCAGCUUGAGACUGAGCAGGGAAAUCAGUAUCCUUCCCCAUGAGGAAGAAAGCCAUUUUCUGCUGGUCACAUGUACCAGUAAAUGCCUUAAGCUUCUCCCAUGGGGAGUUCUGUCACAACCAGAGGAUUGUGACUAAUAGAGGGAGCGCGUGCACUGUCAUCAGUUGCCUGCUGGUUUGUAUCAGUUCCCAACACUAUGGCUAGGUUCUAGAGUAUACCCAGGAAAAGGAGCCAUGGAAAUGAAAGGAAAGAGAGAUCCUUGCUGUUGGUGAUAGUGACAUUGUCCAAGAGGAGGAGGAGGAGAGAUCGACUUGGGAAAGACGCUCAGGCUGCAAAGAAGCCGGAAAGAUUCCCCAGAAAACACCUAGCACAGCCCAAAUCUUCACUUGGGACAUCUGAGACAUGGGGAGCCACCACUAUCAAGUUAUGGUAGAUGCAGCAGAACAGAAGAGUAACACAGUCCCUCCAACUACCCAGCACAAGCAUGAACAACAAUGGCCUCCCUCUGUGAGGGAGAACCCCCACUGAUAUCUAGUAUUCAUGACAACAUUGUUCUUGGAAACACAGUGGACAACACUCACUGAGCAUGAUUUUUUCCAUGGCAUCUUUAGCCCUGACACAUGUGAUCCCACAGGAUCACAAGGUCCCUUUGCAGUCAGUGAUAUAAUUAUCCCCAUUAUACAGAUGGGGGAAACUGAGGCCAGAGAGGUAACACAGCUGAUAAGUAGCAGAGCUGGGAUUUGAACUCAGGCUGUUUGAUUAUGGAUCUUGGGGUUCUAGCCACUGGAUUAUGCACCCUCCUCUGAAAUCUCACAUGGCCAUGAAUGGCAUUUCAGCCCUCUGUGAAGCCCAGCCGUGGCUGCUGAGGUCUCAUUCUUCCUUACCCCCGGAGUAUGCUCUCAAUAAUCCUCAUCGCCUUAAGUGCUGGGAUUUUGCCAUAGUUCCCUUAAUAUAGAAGCAUCAAACCAACAAAAGUUUCAAGGAGAUGGCUUGUGAGAAGCAAAUAGAGUGAUAGACCCUCCAGAAGAGGUUUAACAGCCCUGUUUCUGCCCUUCUGAAUCCUUAGAAGAAAUCCAAGCUGAGAGCCAGAGAGCCAGAGUGGGUGCCUUCGCAGCAACCUUGAUUUGCUAAUCUCCUUCUGGUCAUCAAAAGGGCCUCUCUGAAGCCAGCAAAGUCCUUGGUCCAAGACAGGGGUCAGCAAACUACAGCUCAUCAGCCAAAUAUGAUCUGCUGCCUGUUUGGGGAGUAAAGUUUCAUUGGAAUACA